GAAAGGAAUAAUUCGGUAAAAGAUGGGCCCGCAUCUGAUUAGCUAGUUGGUGAGAUAACAGCCCACCAAGGCGACGAUCAGUAGCCGACCUGAGAGGGUGACCGGCCACAUUGGGACUGAGACACGGCCCAAACUCCUACGGGAGGCAGCAGUGGGGAAUAUUGCACAAUGGGGGGAACCCUGAUGCAGCAACGCCGCGUGAAGGAAGACGGUUUUCGGAUUGUAAACUUCUAUCAAUAGGGAAGAAAGAAAUGACGGUACCUAAAUAAGAAGCCCCGGCUAACUACGUGCCAGCAGCCGCGGUAAUACGUAGGGGGCAAGCGUUAUCCGGAAUUACUGGGUGUAAAGGGAGAGUAGGCGGCAAGGUAAGCGAUAUGUGAAAGCCUUAGGCUUAACCUGAGGAUUGCAUAACGAACUAUCUAGCUAGAGUACAGGAGAGGAAAGCGGAAUUCCUAGUGUAGCGGUGAAAUGCGUAGAUAUUAGGAAGAACACCAGUGGCGAAGGCGGCUUUCUGGACUGAAACUGACGCUGAGGCUCGAAAGCGUGGGGAGCGAACAGGAUUAGAUACCCUGGUAGUCCACGCUGUAAACGAUGAGUGCUAGGUGUCGGGGAGGAAUCCUCG
rnacentral:rRNA from 1 species